rnacentral:misc_RNA from 1 species
GAUGAAGAACGCAGCGAAAUGCGAUAAGUAAUGCGAAUUGCAGAAUUCAGUGAGUCAUCGAAUCUUUGAACGCACAUUGCGCCCCCUGGUAUUCCGGGGGGCAUGCCUGUUCGAGCGUCAUUUCACCACUCAAGCCUCGCUUGGUAUUGGGCAUCGCGGUCCGCCGCGCGCCUCAAAUCGACCGGCUGGGUCUUCUGUCCCCUAAGCGUUGUGGAAACUAUUCGCUAAAGGGUGUUCGGGAGGCUACGCCGUAAAACAACCCCAUUUCUAAGGUUGACCUCGGAUCAGGUAGGGAUACCCGCUGAACUUAAGCAUAUCAAUAAGCGGAGGA